UGGGGAAUUUUGGACAAUGGACGCAAGUCUGAUCCAGCCAUGCCGCGUGCGGGAAGAAGGCCUUCGGGUUGUAAACCGCUUUUGUCAGGGAAGAAACGAGUUUCUCUAAUACAGAGACUUAAUGACGGUACCUGAAGAAUAAGCACCGGCUAACUACGUGCCAGCAGCCGCGGUAAUACGUAGGGUGCGAGCGUUAAUCGGAAUUACUGGGCGUAAAGCGUGCGCAGGCGGUUAUAUAAGACAGAUGUGAAAUCCCCGGGCUCAACCUGGGAACUGCAUUUGUGACUGUAUAGCUAGAGUACGGCAGAGGGGGAUGGAAUUCCGCGUGUAGCAGUGAAAUGCGUAGAUAUGUGGAGGAACACCGAUGGCGAAGGCAGCCCCCUGGGUCAAGAUUGACGCUCAUGCACGAAAGCGUGGGGAGCAAACA
rnacentral:rRNA from 1 species